rnacentral:lncRNA from 1 species
UACAACACACGACGAACGCCAUACUGUCAUAUAACGCACAACUAGACAUAUACUCCAUUUCACUAUGGGCAGUUAAGAGAUGUCCUGAGAGCUGCAGACAAGACAUGCAGCAGUCAGCGGCACGGCAGGGAAAGUGUUGUUCCAUGGUCAUAGACAUACGGACCUCUUCCAAAACGGGCUAUGAACAAUGCACGUGCGGUCACCCGAGGUACGGAAUACAAGUUUGAUUGAUUUCGGAUAAUUGUGGAUUCAUUAAUGUACCUAUAGUUGAGUUCUCCAGCAGGCAAUGGCAUGGUUAUCAUUACUCACGAACGAGCGGUUGUAUCCAAGGAUGAUCCAUUCGUGCUUUGAUGACUUGUAUACAUCGUGUUUUUUGUAAUAAGGAAGCAUUUCAUUUGUACAGGAUUUGUCUAUCGGAAGCAAGUAUAUCUGUGGCUAUCAAGAGGGCAGAUGAUUCCGGGAAAAGACUAAUUGAUAGUUAAACGGACGCAGUGUUCCGGAGAUCGUUACUGGAGAGGUUCGGUGUACGCCUAUCUCCCGGGACUGUCGAGAAAGCAAUAACCUUGCGCUGAUAAACCAGUCUCUGUAACAAGGGGAGGCGACAAAGCCAUCAAUAUUCAUGAAUAUAAUGUGUACUCCCUUCUUCGUAAAGGAUCUGACGUCUGUUUAAUUGUGGGCCUCACGUAAACAUCAGUGCGACAGUGUCCAACGGUACGAAAUGUGGUUAUGUAGAAGAGACAGAACGUGAAACUUCGUAUUUGUAUCGUUGUACGCUCUGCACUUGUGCGGGUGGACACAUACCAUUUACAUCUGUCCGAGAGAUAACAAGUUGGACAAGUUCAGGCAAUAACAGACCCAAUGAUAUGAUAAACAUUUGAGUGCGCCUCCGAUUUGUAUGACGACAGUGUCAAUUUCAUGUCUGUGUUGUCUGUCUACUGUCCAUAGGUGCUUCAUCAGUUUGCAUGGUUUCGUCAACAUAACAUAAUAUCAGCUUUUACGCGUGUUGGGUGACGUCAUUGAGAUUUUGAUCAUGCGUCAUUGCAUCAGAACGAGUCACGGUCAGAGACGUCGGAAUAGCGCCACGCACUCUGAGGAGGAGAACGCUGUACUUUACAACUGCAGUGAUCCUAAACGAAAGUCAACAGAUGAAUUUCUGCGCAUGACAACCGGAAGUAACCAGAGAAGAGUGUCACUUCCGGCAAAUACUACAUUCCAUUCACCAGGGUCAGGUUUUAAAACUGCUCUAAGAAAGGAGAGAAAGUUAAGAAGGAUAAAAACAAUAACAGAUGAAAUAAAUUCUAACAAGGUGCUAGUUUCCAUAUCGUGUGUGGUGAUCCUUGUUAUAUUAGCUGUGACGUUUUCUAUGUAUAGAAUGUUCACCACGUGACCCUGAGCAUGUCAAGCUCAUUUCUGCGUAUCGAUAUCGUGGAUAUUUACAAACCUAUGCUUUGCUGCAUUACAUGUACAUGCGCUAUUGAAUGUCUAUACAAACGUGAUAAGUGCUACAUUGGUGAUAUCAUGACGCAAAUAACCCUAGUCAUUGGAGCUAUUCUGUAACAUGAAAUGUGAAU